GUGGGGAAUCUUCCGCAAUGGACGAAAGUCUGACGGAGCAACGCCGCGUGAGUGAUGACGGCCUUCGGGUUGUAAAGCUCUGUGAUCGGGGACGAAUGGCUGGUGUGCUAAUACCACAUCAGAGUGACGGUACCCGAAUAGCAAGCCACGGCUAACUACGUGCCAGCAGCCGCGGUAAUACGUAGGUGGCAAGCGUUGUCCGGUAUUAUUGGGCGUAAAGCGCGCGCAGGCGGCUUCUUAAGUCCAUCUUAAAAGUGCGGGGCUUAACCCCGUGAUGGGAUGGAAACUGGGAGGCUGGAGUAUCGGAGAGGAAAGUGGAAUUCCUAGUGUAGCGGUGAAAUGCGUAGAGAUUAGGAAGAACACCGGUGGCGAAGGCGACUUUCUGGACGACAACUGACGCUGAGGCGCGAAAGCGUGGGGAGCAAACAGGAUUAGAUACCCGUGUAGUCC
rnacentral:rRNA from 1 species